CCUACGGGCGGCAGCAGUGAGGAAUAUUGGUCAAUGGACGAGAGUCUGAACCAGCCAAGUAGCGUGAAGGAUGACUGCCCUAUGGGUUGUAAACUUCUUUUAUAUGGGAAUAAAACGUUCCACGUGUGGGAUUUUGUAUGUACCAUAUGAAUAAGGAUCGGCUAACGCCGUGCCAGCAGCCGCGGUAAUACGGAGGAUCCGAGCGUUAUCCGGAUUUAUUGGGUUUAAAGGGAGCGUAGGUGGAUUGUUAAGUCAGUUGUGAAAGUUUGGGGCUCAACCGUAAAAUUGCAGUUGAAACUGGCAGUCUUGAGUACAGUAGAGGUGGGCGGAAUUCGUGGUGUAGCGGUGAAAUGCUGAGAUAUCACGAAGAACUCCGAUUGCGAAGGCAGUUCACUGGACUGCAACUGACACUGAGGCUCGAAAGUGUGGGUAUCAAACAGGAUUAGAUACCCCUGUAGUC
rnacentral:rRNA from 1 species